rnacentral:rRNA from 1 species
GACGUAGGGCGCGAGCGUUGUCCGGAUUUAUUGGGCGUAAAGAGCUCGUAGGCGGCUUGUCGCGUCGUUCGUGAAAACCUGCAGCUCAACUGCAGGCUUGCGGUCGAUACGGGCAGGCUAGAGUUCGGUAGGGGAGACUGGAAUUCCUGGUGUAGCGGUGAAAUGCGCAGAUAUCAGGAAGAACACCAAUGGCGAAGGCAGCUCUCUGGGACGGUACUGACGCUGAGACGCGAAAGCGUGGGGAGCGAACAGG